AAAAAGAACUAUGAUUUAGAGAAUCCUCCCUAAGGAUCACACUUCCUCUUCUUCGGUGUCUCCGAGCUCUUAACCCCUUCAAGCUUAUUUCCCCAGGAAGUCUCAAGCGCUCCAGUUAGGUCUGCCAUAUGUACCUCCUUAAAUACUAAUUUUUGAAUGAACAAUUUAGAGAGAACUCUCCCAAAAUGAAUGAAGGAAAA
rnacentral:lncRNA from 1 species